ACGAACGCUGGCGGCGUGCCUAAUACAUGCAAGUAGAACGCUGAAGAGAGGAGCUUGCUCUUCUUGGAUGAGUUGCGAACGGGUGAGUAACGCGUAGGUAACCUGCCUUGUAGCGGGGGAUAACUAUUGGAAACGAUAGCUAAUACCGCAUAACAAUGGAUGACACAUGUCAUUUAUUUGAAAGGGGCAAUUGCUCCACUACAAGAUGGACCUGCGUUGUAUUAGCUAGUAGGUGAGGUAAUGGCUCACCUAGGCGACGAUACAUAGCCGACCUGAGAGGGUGAUCGGCCACACUGGGAAUGAGACACGGCCCAGACUCCUACGGGAGGCAGCAGUAGGGAAUCUUCGGCAAUGGGGGCAACCCUGACCGAGCAACGCCGCGUGAGUGAAGAAGGUUUUCGGAUCGUAAAGCUCUGUUGUAAGUCAAGAACAGGUGUGAGAGUGGAAAGUUCACACUGUGACGGUAGCUUACCAGAAAGGGACGGCUAACUACGUG
rnacentral:rRNA from 1 species